rnacentral:lncRNA from 1 species
UGAUAAUCCUCAGAAAAUAUGAGAUGAAAAGAUUUGAAAGUGUUGAGGGGGUCAGCAGGCAGAAUUCUGAGCCCGAGAUACAGGUAUAAAGGAUGUGAACCAAAGAGGAAGCAAGCUGAAUGGUUUGACCUUCUGCCAUAAAAAGUCAUAGAGUAAUAAGCCAUAAGAAAGGACCAAUACCAGAGUAUUCUGCUUUCAAUUCUGCCAUGGCUCUGUGGGAGGUAAUACCAGACAGCUGAGGUCACAUCCCAGUGUUUCUGAGCAGCAGGACCUCUCCAUGAAGGUGAUAUCUUAGUAGAUGUACUCUGAGCUAUGCAACAGAAAAUAUUCCUUUGUUAUUGUCAGCGUGAGUUUUGGAGAGGAAAGGCAGAGUCAGAUGUCAAUAACCAAUGUGUCUGGAGAUGAAGAGGGUAGAAAAGAAAAAAAAUAUUCCUUCAUGUUGAAGAAAGCAAUCACUGGAAAGGUGUCUGACAAAUGGAUGGGAGCAAUCCUUGUUAAUGAGCAUAAAUCUUUGCAGAAAGCAAAAAAAAACCAGACUAUUGUGCAUCACAUAAAGCCUAUACGUAUUAUGUUAAAGUGAAAAAAAAUAUGUGAGAAAAUAGGUGCCUUUUUCUAUAGUUGACUUCUAGAGUUAGAUUUCACAAAGUAUUUUGCCAACAUGUAUGUUACACUAUACCUACAGUUGUUCAUUACAACAUGUAAUAACAUGCUGUGAAAUCCUGUAGCCUUUUCUUGGGACA